UUGCUCGUUGUACACUAAUUUCGUGAUUGACCAGUAGACAUCAGUUAGGUAGAUUCGCAAGUUGUUAGUGGCAGUCUAAAUUAAGUGUCUGUCUUUUAAAAGCACAGAUACAUGCGAAGGUUACGUUUAUAUCCCUAAGCGGCAAUAAGCCCAGCGGAUUGCAUCGUUUGUAUUACCAGCUGGGGUGUGUGAUAAUGCGACUUAACGAUUAUUACUCCCGUCUUCAUAGAAGCGACAGGUCCUAACCGGCUAUGAAUGAAGACCCAAUGAAGUAACCCAUUUGAAGCUAACACCAUGGUGGGUCGGAUAUUUCAGGGUGAGUAGAGCUGGACAAUAAUUCCCAAGUACUUGGUGAAGAAUAUGAGGCCCGAAGAAGAUCAAAAACGAACACGACAGAAGGUUUGCAUUUAAUGAAAAAAAAAUUUUCCCCCACAAAGUCGAAGUAAUUAAUUAAAACAGACAUUGAUAAGGGCCAGGAUAAAAAACACUCGCUGAAGCCCCAUAUUACAGUCGCAAACACCUAGAAGCGAGACUGAUCAUCCAUAAACGUAAUUUACACUGUUAUUUUUCAAUAAAAUGAAAUUAGUUCAAAUUAAACUUCAAUAAGAAGCUUUAUCUCAGAUAGAAAGGAGUUCCAUCUGGAGCACCUACAUAGUUUGAGGACAAUCUCACAAUGAUAGGUUGA